rnacentral:rRNA from 1 species
GGGAAACAGCUCGGACCACCAGUUAAGGACCCCAAAUAUGUGUUAAGGGGGGACGAAUGACGCGUUGCUGAGACAACCAGGAUGUUGGCUUAGAAGCAGCCACCAUUGAAAGAGUGCGUAAUAGCUCACUGGUCGAGUGACCCCGCGCCGAAAAUGUACCGGGGCUAAACAUAUUACCGAAACUGUGGAUGAACCUCUUUAGAGGUUCGUGGUAGGAGAGCGUUCUAAGGGCGGUGAAGUCAGACCGGAAGGACUGGUGGAGCGCUUAGAAGUGAGAAUGCCGGUAUGAGUAGCGAAAGAAGGGUGAGAAUCCCUUCCACCGAAUAUCUAAGGUUUCCUGAGGAAGGCUCGUCCGCUCAGGGUUAGUCGUGACCUAAGCUGAGGCCGAUAGGCGUAGGCGAUGGACAACAGGUAGAGAUUCCUGUACCAG